GAUGAACGCUAGCUACAGGCUUAACACAUGCAAGUCGAGGGGAAACGACAUCGAAAGCUUGCUUUUGAUGGGCGUCGACCGGCGCACGGGUGAGUAACGCGUAUCCAACCUGCCCACCACUUGGGGAUAACCUUGCGAAAGUAAGACUAAUACCAAAUGACGUCUCUAGAAGACAUCUGAAAGAGAUUAAAGAUUUAUCGGUGAUGGAUGGGGAUGCGUCUGAUUAGCUUGUUGGCGGGGUAACGGCCCACCAAGGCGACGAUCAGUAGGGGUUCUGAGAGUAAGCUACACCACAUUGGAGCUGAGACACAGUCCAAACUCCUACGGGAGGCAGCAGUGAGGAAUAUUGGUCAAUGGACGAGAGUCUGAACCAGCCAAGUAGCGUGCAGGAUGACGGCCCUAGGGGUUGUAAACUGCUUUUAUAAGGGAAUAAAGUGAGUCUCGAGAGACUUUUUGCAUGUACCUUAUGAAUAAGGACCGGCUAAUUCCGUG
rnacentral:rRNA from 1 species